rnacentral:tRNA from 1 species
GCGCCUGUAGCUCAGCUGGACAGAGCAGCGGACUUCUAAUCCGCGGGUCGGGGGUUCGAAUCCUCCCAGGCGCGCCA